rnacentral:rRNA from 1 species
UACGAAGGGGACUAGCGUUGUUCGGAAUUACUGGGCGUAAAGCGUGCGUAGGUGGUGAGUUAAGUCUGUCGUGAAAGCCCCGGGCUCAACCUGGGAAUGGCGAUGGAUACUGGCUCGCUAGAGUGCGGUAGAGGAGAGUGGAAUUCCCGGUGUAGCAGUGAAAUGCGUAGAGAUCGGGAGGAACAUCAGUUGCGAAGGCGGCUCUCUGGACCAGCACUGACACUGAGGCACGAAAGCGUGGGGAGCAAACAGG